CAGCAGCCGCGGUAAAACGAAGGGGGCUAGCGUUGUUCGGAAUUACUGGGCGUAAAGCGCACGUAGGCGGAUAUUUAAGUCAGGGGUGAAAUCCCAGAGCUCAACUCUGGAACUGCCUUUGAUACUGGGUAUCUUGAGUAUGGAAGAGGUGAGUGGAAUUCCGAGUGUAGAGGUGAAAUUCGUAGAUAUUCGGAGGAACACCAGUGGCGGAGGCGGCUCACUGGUCCAUUACUGACGCUGAGGUGCGAAAGCGUGGGGAGCAAACAGGAUUAGAUACCCCAGUAGUCCCUGUCUCUUAUAC
rnacentral:rRNA from 1 species